rnacentral:rRNA from 1 species
UGGGGAAUAUUGGACAAUGGGCGAAAGCCUGAUCCAGCCAUGCCGCGUGUGUGAAGAAGGUCUUCGGAUUGUAAAGCACUUUAAGUUGGGAGGAAGGGCAGUAAGCGAAUACCUUGCUGUUUUGACGUUACCGACAGAAUAAGCACCGGCUAACUCAGUGCCAGCAGCCGCGGUAAUACAGAGGGUGCAAGCGUUAAUCGGAAUUACUGGGCGUAAAGCGCGCGUAGGUGGUUCGUUAAGUUGAAUGUGAAAGCCCCGGGCUCAACCUGGGAACUGCAUCCAAAACUGGCGAGCUAGAGUAGGGCAGAGGGUGGUGGAAUUUCCUGUGUAGCGGUGAAAUGCGUAGAUAUAGGAAGGAACACCAGUGGCGAAGGCGACCACCUGGGCUCAUACUGACACUGAGGUGCGAAAGCGUGGGGAGCAAACAGG